rnacentral:lncRNA from 1 species
CUUUCUCUCCUCUUCUUUCUCUCUCCUCUUCUUUCUCUCUCCUCUUCUCUCUCUCUCUCUCUUUCUUUCUCUCUCUCCUUCCUUCCCUCCUUCCCUCCUUCCUUCCUUCCUUCCACAAUGACUAUGGCAUCUUUCCCCCAUAUGAGUCCUGAGAAGAGGUGAUUUCUCCAAGUCAUCUGUGUCGUCCUUGUAUCAGCUGGCAGCUGCACCCCGACAGCCACAGGGCAAAUCAAUCCACUGCAAAUUGCUCGGGGGCUCAGCUGUCAAGAAGGCUUGCUUCUCCCCCACCCCUGAGGUUUCUGAACAGAUGGGUGGAAGAGAUAACUAAGUCACUGAUAACCCCCUCCUGCACCCCUGAACAUGGGUCCUGGCAUGGGGCUGGAGCUAGACUCCUCAAGCUAGCCUCAGUUUAGCUACCAUUAACUGGCUGUCUGGGGAAGUGAAGUGCCUGGCCUGAUGGGUGCUGCAAAUGGAGGUUUGAAGGUGAAGGAUGCUGUGGUGCAAGGGCAGUACAAGCAGCAGUGCCAGGAGCCUGGAGGACUCUCAGGCAGGAGGGGGAAGCCUGUGCCCAAAUUCAACAAGCUUCUGGUUUAAGAGGUCUUUGCUAAUUUAGAAGGAGCCUAUCUGGAAUGGACAAAUGCAGGCAUCAGAGGAGAGAAACAAAACACAGUGGAGCAGAGUGGAGCGUGUUUGUCACCCUGGGCCUUCACUUCAGUCUGUGUCAGACCAUGCCUCUCUUGCAGGCUGUGCUGCUGGCUACGGAGCUGGCUUCAGGACUACAGAAACACGUCUGCAUGAAGCUCUGUGCUAUUGUCAAGAGAUCAAGCAGAAUGCUAGCUCAUGAGCACCCACAAAGCUGA